CCCACCAACGGAAAGGAGGGAAAAAAAAAAACUGCAAGAACGAACUACAGAUCAAGUGGGACACUGAGUAGAGAGGAACUAUUUCAGGCACCGCACCCCACAAAUGGGAACUGUGGAGAACGGUGAAGAAAUCACCACAGAGGUGACCGAGCGGCUCCGGGCGCCAUCAGAGGAAGACAAGGAUUCCAUGGUGACCUACAAAUAGUCUAAGGCCAGCGGAGAACCACUGGGAAAAAGCAAAGGUCAGCAAGGACAGGUCUCUCUGCCACCUCAUGACCAGAACAAAAUUACCAACUAACUGAUUCCCUGUUGGAACUAAGUAAAUACAGAGGGAGGGAACUGUAAGGGACAGUGCCCAGCAACACAGCAUCAACACUCUGGUGGAGUGUUGUCCCCAGUGCUAGUCUCAGUCUGGUGAACAGUUUCCGACACCCCUAAAGGAGCACUCCAAAGAGAUGGAAGCCACCCUUAGGACAACUUGGAUCCUUCUCCUUUGGGGACUUGCUGGCGCGGGUUGCACAGAGAGGAGGGGGCAGAGCUUGCUGGCUUUCAGGGCUGCUUCAGAACCCAGGGGUUCUCUGAGCCCCUCUGGCUGCACCCCCCCCAACAGUAAAUGGACUGAACGGUGAAGAGGAGGAGGAAGAGGAGGACAAGGGUCCCCUGACAAAACUAAGCAUCCCGGACAAUCUAGACAGCUGGGAGGCCAUGUGUGGUUGUCCGGAGGGCUAGGCGGGCUAGGUGCUGGGCAGGCCAGCACUGCUGAGCCCCUGAGCCCGCUGUCUGGCCGAGGGCCGCUUUACCGAGCUCAUGCAGGAGAAAGUGGGCUUACAGGACUGGAUGGAGGAGCUGGAGCAUCGAUGUAUCCAGAUGUCUGGAGAGACUGACACCAUCGGUGAGCAGGGAGGCUUGUGCCCUGCAGCUGGGGUGCUAUGCAGAGGCUGGGGAGACCCCAGCAGCUGAGCUGUCUGCGCGCCCUCCCCCUAGGAGAAUACAUCACUCUCUACCAGAACCAGAGAGCAGUGAUGAGGGAGGAGCACCAAGAGAAGGACGAGUCCAUAAGGCAGCUGGCCCAGGACAAAGAGGAGAUGAAGGUGAAGCUGUUAGAGCUGCAAGAGCUGGUUUUGCAGCUGGUGGAGGCACGCAACGA